CUCCAGAUGUUGCUGAACUACAACUCCCAUGAUUCUAUGAUUGAAAUAGAUAGGCUGAGAAUCAUGGGAGUUGUAGUUCAGCAACAUCUGGAG
rnacentral:miRNA from 1 species